rnacentral:lncRNA from 1 species
GGGCUUGGGACAGUCCUAUCAGCCCCUCUGGUUUUCCAACUGGGUCAUGUUCUCAGGUUCUCGAGCUGUCCAGUUUGCAAGCAGCCAUCAGAGAACUUCUCACCCACUGUGAUCCUCUGAGCCAACCAACAGCCCUGUAUAUGUAUAUUUUAUUUGUUCUGUUUCUCAGGUGAAUACACGGCAAUACCUUACCAAGAGGUUUGUGGGAAGAUUGGUGAUUCAAGGCUGGCCUGGAGAAGAUAACGCUCAUGGGACUCGAAGUAUGUUGUUGCCCUAGUAUGGGGGACCUAGAGGAUGCCAUAUAUUGCAGAAAACCCAUUAUACUACUGGUCCUUAGAGAAUAACUUGGAAAUCCGUGUGCAGCAACCUCAAUGACCAAGAUCACCUAAACUGCAGUUUACUGUACCAAUAAAUGUCUGCGUGCUGAUGGCCACCACUCUGAGAAGCUCUUGUAAUUAUGGAGGCCGAAGAAAACUUGUAUCAGUCUCGUGAUGUCUCAGUAAAUUCAGUAUUGAAAUAUUU